rnacentral:lncRNA from 1 species
UUGUUUUAAAUUUCUUCGCGAUGUUAGACAACCAUCGCUCCACUAAAUCGAGGUCUAGAGUUCCAUCAAGAGUAGGAAGAUUCACUUUACCAAGCUCCUUAAAAUGAUGUUUAAGACUCUUAUCUCCUUUUUGUUGCUCUUGUUGUUGUUGCUAGUUUUGUCAUUGAAAACUUUAAGCAAAUUGGAGAGCCAUGGCAAAGACACUAGGAUCCAUAUGACUAAGCAUUUGAGCCAUAGCACUAGCAUUGCCUUUAGAAAUCCCUUGAGAGGUUCCCUUGGUCCUCCUCCUUUGAGAUAUCCAUCCAGCAUCUGACAAAAACUUGCCUGGAGGUAUAUUCAUAUCCUGCUCUUCUUCAUGCACUUCAGGUCCAAGAUCUUCCAAUAUUACAUCAUCUUCAUUAAAUUCUUCACCAAAAGUUGCUUUUUGUCUCUGUGUUGGUGCCAAAAGUUGUAAAUGCAAACUCAUAAUUAACAAUAACUAACAAGACCAAGCUAGCCUACCACAAACUUUAAUCAUAACAUCAAAGUAGUAUUUAGACACCAAAAUUGAAAAUAGAUCAGUUUACACAAAGGCUGGCCACUCCUAAGUGCAAACUUACUACAUUCCAAUUUCUGUCCAACAUACAAUCUAAGUCCCAAGAAAAUACAAUUCGUGUUUAUUCUUAGAUCACAAACAUAAUCCAAAACUUAAGUUCUAAUACCACUAAAAUGUCAUGCCCCAAAAUUGGAACAAAACAUUGCUAUAUCUCAUAAUAAGACUACAAGACACAAAGCAUCAUAAUCUAUAUAGCUAAUAUUUUUGCAAAAUCAUCUUCUUAACCAUUCAUACUAUUUACAAUUACAUUCCAAUGGCAAUGUCAAUGCUAGUCCCAAAUUCAACCUAAGAUAUAAUUUACAACCAUUCAUUGCCAGAUUUACAUAUCUAAUACAAAAAACAAUGUCCAAUGUACAACCAUAAGGCUGUAACAAAACGAGCCUUAAUCCUUCUCUUCUAACACCAAACUGUAUCACAAUCUCCUCAUAAACGCAUCAUCCUCUGAAAAAUACAACAAAUGAGGUAAGCAAACAUUUGCCCAAUAAGUAGUUCAGGUACUUAUCUAGCAUUUGGCAUGAAUAGGUUAUACAUAAUAUAUUUCAAAAUACAUGAGUUGUUAGAAUAUUUAAUCGAAUCACAUUAAAUACUUAGCUAUUAACUCACAAAUAAGCUCAUGAAUUCUUAGCCUUUGUCGUUAACCGAAUAUCCAGUCCUGACUUUUUGUCUCAUUAGGUAGGCCAGAUAGAAGGUUCCUAGCUAUUUGCUCCGCUAGGUAGGCUAGACAGACAAAAUUGUGGAACUAGUUCCAAUGACAGUAACCAAGAAAUCACGAGCUCAGAAUGCAAACCAAACAUAGCAUUCAUACUUCAUAAACAAUUCAUUCUCAUUAUCAUAAUCAUUCAUACAUCAAAUAUGAAACGUAUCUCUACUCAUGCCAAAUUUCAUAAUAAGAUAAGCAAUUGAAGCUAAUUUUUUUUUUAAAAAAAAUUGAGUUAGAAGUAUAGAGAGUACAGAAACCACUUACCUUAGCCAAAAUAACCAAUACCCAACUUAACUCAAGUAAUCCUUGUGAUACAUGCUCUCUCUACCUAUAAAACGAGAGCCUAGUUCAAUCUCUAACUCUUAAAAAAAUAGAGUAACUAUCAGUAUAUCAAUUAGUACUAAUCCCCAAACUAACAAGACCAAACGAAACGAUUUAGGAGUGAAAAAUAGAGAAAGUGAGAAAAUACAAAUUGAAAUAAACAGAACCGGACUUGCUCUAAGCCAAAUAUAAGCUUCGGGACUUCAUUUCCACAAGUCCCAACUCCAACUACUAGUCACUUCUUGUCAAAAGUUCAACACCAAUCAAGUGCUAUAAAUUAAGCUUAAACAUGUAUCCAACCAAGUAAUCUAAACAUGUUAUGAUCAAGAGAUCAUUUGCUUCCAAAAUCCUUAUUGGUUAAUAUCGUCCCACUAUAUUCACCCAUAAAGUAACAAAUAAACUUAGUACAUACCUUGAAGAGAGGUUAUUAAUUAAUCUCCAAGCAUCUCACUUGUUCCAAAUCUUUGAUUUGCAAGAUUUUCACUUUAAUUAAGAGAGGGAAUAUAGGGAGAUUUUAGAGAGAGAAAGUGGGAAGGGUAUGAAAGAGUAAAGUAAGGUCUAACUCAAUUCUUCCAAUAUAAAACUUGUUCAUAUUGUUAAUUAGUCCCCCAACUUCUAACUUAAUCACAUAAACCCCAAAGUUCUAUAAUCUCACUAACAAAACCCAUGAAGAAAGUUAUUAUGAUUUGCGUAUUACAUUUGAAAGACACCUUCUCCAGAAACAAGUGUCUAUUAGCCAAAAAGAAGCUAUUCCGUGUAAGAUGCUAUGCUCAUAUCCUCAACCUAAUGGUUUAGGAUGGUCUCGAUGAAAUCCAAGAUGUGGUUCAAGCCAUACGAGACAGUGAUGAGUUUGU